GACGAAGGGGGCUAGCGUUGUUCGGAAUUACUGGGCGUAAAGCGUGUGUAGGUGGUUGUCGUAGUCAGGUGUGAAAGCCUUGAGCUCAACUCAAGAAAUGCACUUGAUACUGGGCAGCUAGAGGAGCGGAGAGGAUAGUGGAAUUCGCAGUGUAGUGGUGAAAUACGUGGAGAUGGGGAAGAACACCAGUGGCGAAGGCGGCUAUCUGGACGGUUUCUGACACUAAGACACGAAAGCGUGGGGAGCAAACAGG
rnacentral:rRNA from 1 species